rnacentral:rRNA from 1 species
UACGGAGGGUGCAAGCGUUAUCCGGAUUUAUUGGGUUUAAAGGGUCCGUAGGCGGAUCUGUAAGUCAGUGGUGAAAUCUCAUAGCUUAACUAUGAAACUGCCAUUGAUACUGCAGGUCUUGAGUAAGGUAGAAGUAGCUGGAAUAAGUAGUGUAGCGGUGAAAUGCAUAGAUAUUACUUAGAACACCAAUUGCGAAGGCAGGUUACUAUGUCUUAACUGACGCUGAUGGACGAAAGCGUGGGGAGCAAACAGG